CCCUUAGAUGUUCUGGGCUGCACGCGUGCUACACUGAUAUUGCCAAUAUGUCAUUCUUAUCCGAAAUGGAUUGGGUACUCAAGUAAUGAAAUUUCAUGCUUGGAAUCGGUAAUUGCAAUUUUAUCGUGAACGAGGAAUUCCUAGUAAGCACUAGUCAUCAGCUAAUGUUGAUUAUGUCCCUGCCCUUUGUACACACCGCCCGUCGCUACUACUGAUUGGGUGUUCAAGUGAGAUGCUUAGACCCUUGUUGCAUGGUUCAUUAUUGUGCUCCGAAAGGAAAAAGUUUCAAGCUUGAGUGUCUAGAGGAAGUAAAAGUCGUAACA
rnacentral:rRNA from 1 species